GACGGAGGAUGCAAGCGUUAUCCGGAAUGAUUGGGCGUAAAGCGUCCGCAGGUGGCAGUUCAAGUCUGCUGUCAAAGACCGGGGCUUAACUUCGGAAAGGCAGUGGAAACUGAACAGCUAGAGUAUGGUAGGGGCAGAGGGGAUUCCUGGUGUAGCGGUGAAAUGCGUAGAGAUCAGGAAGAACAUCGGUGGCGAAGGCGCUCUGCUGGACCAUAACUGACACUCAGGGACGAAAGCUAGGGGAGCGAAUGGG
rnacentral:rRNA from 1 species